rnacentral:rRNA from 1 species
UACAGAGGGUGCAAGCGUUGUUCGGAAUUAUUGGGCGUAAAGGGCGCGUAGGCGGUGCUGUAAGUCUGUAGUGAAAUCUCUGGGCUCAACUCAGAGUCUGCUAUAGAAACUGCAGUGCUGGAGUGUGGGAGAGGUGAGUGGAAUUCCCGGUGUAGUGGUGAAAUGCGUAGAUAUCGGGAGAACACCUGUGGCGAAAGCGGCUCACUGGACCACAACUGACGCUGAUGCGCGAAAGCUAGGGGAGCAAACAGG